UCAUCAGGAAGAAUCUGGGGGAAUUCUUUCUUGAGAAUUAAUUGCUCCUGCACAAGCAAUUAAACCAGAGUGUAGAAUAAAGUUCUUUCACAAUAAUAUUGCUUCACUUGGCAGUGUUAUGAAGUGAAAAUUGCGACAGUUGGCAGAUGAGAACUUCUUCUGCACAGCCAUCAACUCACAGAAAAAGCUUAUGGAUGGUAUGGCUUGUUCUUUUCUUUUUCUUUUUUUCUAUUUUUGACCCCACUUUCUGUGUUUUAGAGUUCUAACUAAUUACUAAACAAAGACAAUAAUGGUUGAUUAGCUUUUCAAUGUCCUUAUUAAUAAUAAUUAAAGCGUUCUAAGCAUUUUUUUAUGAUGAUUAAGCCAUUUGCAUAUUUUUAUUAGCUAAUUUAGGACAGGUACACACACACAAAAAAAAAAGAAGUUGAUUCUGGAGCUUUAUGAUUCCCAUAUAUGUGUAUUCUUCCUUAUCCAAAAUGCCAAACUUUUCCCAUGUUCUUUUAUGCUCAAGCUAAGAAUAUGACACGCAUGCAUAUGUUUAUAUAUUUAAAUUAUGCAUAUGACACUUGUUUAUGUGGGCAUCACAAAUUGAUUCAUGCACAUAAAGCAAUGUAUAUAUAGGAUAAUAUAUAUAUAUUUAGUACAUACCCCAAGAUGAUUAAUUAUAUAGACCCAUGCAGUCAUUGUUAUGGCUCGAAGCCUCUUGUGCUUCACAGGAAUUACCCAGCCUGUUCAAGCAAGGACAUAGCAAAACCAGCAAUCUCAAAUACUUUGGUCAAGAAGAGUUUGAAUUUCUACACGUGUGAGGAUUGAGCUUGUUCAUCCACGCACGUGAGAGAGAUCAGCAGUCGUUGGAGUAUUGUGCACUUUGCAGUAUAGUGCUAUAUAGAAUUAAUAGAGCCUCUCCCACAGAUGCUUGUGUGCGUGCUAGAAAGAAAGAAUCGUGCAAGUUGGUGGGCGCAACACAGAGAAUCGUUGCAGCCACCGAAAGCCAUCUCAUUCCCAAUCUUUUAGCACAAGGAUUCAAAGCAGGUGAUUGCGAGAAUCAGGUAAAAAAUUGACUAGCCAUAUGAGAAUAUUUUUUCCUCAGCUUUUGUUUCUGCUUUUUUCAUAAAAUCUGCACGAGUCAGACCAGAUGGUCAAUAGGAUGUAGAUGUACCACCCUGGAAGGAUUUCUAAUUUGAAGUUUGAUCCUUUCAUCUCGGAGGAAAGAAAAUAAUAGUAUGUGGCGUUACGAGGAAAUUAUAAAGGAUUUAGCUAGUUUAAAAUAAUUAAAUAAUAUUGUUUAACUAUUUUAUACCAAUUUAAAAUUAGGUUCAAAAUUUAUUUGGGUUAAUUUGAAUCGAGAUUAAUUAGUUUUAUAGUCAUUUUGAGUUAAAAAUAUAUAUAUAUAUACGUAGCUCGUGGGUGACAAUAAAUACAUUAUGAGACACUAACAAAAUAUACAAUAUUCAAGAGUUCAGUGCUGACUUAACAAUUGUAUCCUAUUCAAACCAGUUUAAAACCAUAUAAGGGCAAAAAAAAGAUUUGUUUGGUUUAUGCAACUUGGUCUUUGCCCAUGGUAGCACAGUAGUCACCAUCUUUCAAAGUAACUUUCAUCAACUUGGGCAUCUAAGAAAUAAAGUUCCUCCACUUUUGAAUGUUCUUGUUCAAACAAAGUACUCCAACACUCCAUCCUAAAAGUUAUGCCUAUAAAUAGUCUAACAUUAGGGCAUAAUUUCGAAAAACCUUGAGCUUCCGCUUUCCUUUCAAUACCUUUUAUCCAAGGAAGGUAAAGAAAAGGAAAGCUUCUCUCUCAGUGUCUCACAGCCUCUGCAUUAGCCAGACAUUAAGGAGACAUUUUUUCAAUGGAAAAGGUGAUGGGACUGGCGUCAGAGAAGGGGGUGGUGAUAUUCAGCAAGAGCUCAUGCUGCAUGUGUUAUGCUGUGAAAAUAUUAUUUCAAGGAAUUGGGGUGGAGCCUCUGGUUUAUGAGAUUGACCAAGACACUGAAGGCAGGGAGAUGGAGAGAGCUCUCAUGAGGUUGGGGUGUAGUGCCCCUGUACCGGCUGUUUUCAUUGGUGGAAAGCAUAUGGGAUCUACCAAUGAAAUCAUGUCCCUCCAUCUUAGUGGCACACUCAUUCAAAUGCUCAAGCCAUACCGGGCUUUAUCUUAAUUGAUCACUUCUUAAUUUGCUACCAAUAAAAAUAAAAAUUGGCUAUUGAUUUAGUAGUCUUGUAUUCUCUAUAUAGUAUUAAGUAUGUGUAAUUGUCUGUGUUACGUAUCCAUAGCUUUUCAUUUGUUACUACGUAAUGAGUUCCCUUUUGUUAAUGAAGUUAUUAGCUUUAUGUACUUCUUUCCUCUAAUUCCUUAAAAUAUGAAAUUUUGUGUAGGAAUGCGUAUUGAUAUCGGCCUGUUGUAUCAUAAAAAAUAAAUUUAAAAAUCAAG
rnacentral:lncRNA from 1 species